GACGAACGCUGGCGGCGUGCCUAAUACAUGCAAGUCGAACGCAGUGGGGACGGGUGAGUUACACGUGGGUAACCUCCCAUCAGAGGGGAUAACACUUGGAAACAGGUGCUCAACCGAUACUGCUGGAUGGUCCCGCGGGGCGUUAGCUAGGUGGUGAGGUAACGGCUCACCAAGGCCACGAUGCAUACCCGACCUGAGAGGAUGAUCGGCCACACUGGGACUGAGACACGGCCCAGACUCCUACGGGAGGCAGCAGUAGGGAAUGUUCGACAAUGGACGAAAGUCUGACCGAGCCACGCCGCGUGAGUGAAGAAGGUUUUCGGAUCGUAAAACUCUGUUGUUAGAGAAGCGGUAUCUAAACAGAAAGCCACGGCUAACUACAUGCCAGCAGCCGCGGUAAUAC
rnacentral:rRNA from 1 species